UACGUAGGGUCCGAGCGUUGUCCGGAAUCAUUGGGCGUAAAGCGCGCGUAGGUGGCCUCAUAAGUCCGCUGUGAAAGUCAAAGGCUCCAACCUUUGAAAGCCGGUGGAUACUGUGAGGCUAAGAGUACGGAAGAGGCGAGUGGAAUUCCUGGUGUAGCGGUGGAAUGCGCAGAUAUCAGGAGGAACACCAAUAGCGAAGGCAGCUCGCUGGGACGUUACUGACACUGAGGCGCGAAAGCGUGGGGAGCGAACAGG
rnacentral:rRNA from 1 species